ACGCUCGACACCUACGGGAGGCGGCAGUUGGGAAUAUUGGACAAUGGAGGAAACUCUGAUCCAGUGGCGCCGCGUGAAGGAAGAAGGUCUUCGGAUUGUAAACUUAUUUUGUCAGGGAAGAAAAAUGACUGUACCUGAAGAAAAAGCACCGGCUAACUACGUGCCAGCAGCCGUGGUAAUCUGAGGCGGGCUGGCGAAGGC
rnacentral:rRNA from 1 species